rnacentral:rRNA from 11 species
UGACGAGCGGCGGACGGGUGAGUAAUGCUUGGGAAUAUGCCUUAUGGUGGGGGACAACAGUUGGAAACGACUGCUAAUACCGCAUAACGUCUACGGACCAAAGGAGGGGACUUUUCGGAGCCUUUCGCCAUUUGAUUAGCCCAAGUGAGAUUAGCUAGUAGGUGAGGUAAGAGCUCACCUAGGCGACGAUCUCUAGCUGGUUUGAGAGGAUGAUCAGCCACACUGGGACUGAGACACGGCCCAGACUCCUACGGGAGGCAGCAGUGGGGAAUAUUGCACAAUGGGCGAAAGCCUGAUGCAGCGACGCCGCGUGAGGGAUGACGGCCUUCGGGUUGUAAACCUCUUUCAGCAGGGGAGAAGCGAAAGUGACGGUACCUGCAGAAGAAGCGCCGGCUAACUACGUGCCAGCAGCCGCGGUAAUACG